rnacentral:ncRNA from 2 species
GCAAGAUAAGGAGCGCCGGAACCCCCGAUGGGGGUUGACGAGGAGAGGGAUCUCGAAAUUAUUCGGCGGGUGACCUCCGGCUUCUCAACAGCCGUCAAAUCACGGACAAAGGUCGUUUGCAAAGGCGACACAAAACCGUGCGGUUGAGACCG